rnacentral:rRNA from 1 species
UAUGAACCUGGUUUAUAACUUAUACGAUUAAUCUACAACCUACUAUUAAAUCCUAAAUUUAUUAGCAUUAAGUUACUGCAUUUCAGUCUCCCUUGGUUGGGCUGCAUGUUAUUUGGGAAAAAUUUAAAUGUUAAUUUAUUUUUUAACAACCACACACAAACACUAACCAAGUAAACAAAAUUGAGGGUUAUCAAAUUAAGCACCAAAAUUCUCUAAAAAGAAUAAACCACUGCCAUGUAGUUUAGGUUUAUUUUUACUACCUAAAGUUAUUUCAUACCUGGAUUCUACCCCAGUUUUGUAGCUUGAUUUUAAUAUUUUAACCCUUUUUCCUAUAUCCUUAAAACUGAAAAAGAAAGAAAGUUUAAAAUUAUCCAUUAAAUAAAAUUUAAUUUAAAAGUA